rnacentral:lncRNA from 1 species
GAAAAUGCAGAAUAUUAUUAUUAAUUAUCCUUGAAUAUAUCUUAGCUUCCACUCCAAAUCAACAGAACAUUCACCUGACACGUUUUAUUUUAAUUAAAAGAGUGCAUAGGAGCAGCAGUACCAGGCUAGAGAUGGGGAUGAUGACGAUGCCGAAUCCGCUGACCGCACCCAAUUCAACCGUCGGAACCGCCGCAAUUGCUCCAACAGUAAUACAUCCCUUCCAAGUUCAGCCACCACCGUCGACCACUACCACCACCCGCAGGUUCAGUUCAUUAAUUAAUUAUUAAUGAUGGAGCUGAAUAAUUAAUAAUUCAGUCAUGGUCGCCGGUCUUGUCGUGCGCAGGUCUAUAAUUAGCUUUGGUUUGUUGGGUGGGUUUAUGUGCUUAAAAUUGAUGAGCCCCGACAUUGCUGAAGCAGCGGCAAGAAGGCCGCCGCCGCCGACCACUACAGAUGAGAAAAAAGACCCGAAUAUCAGCGGUGUCCAAGCUAAAGUUUUGGCCAGUAAGAAAAGGAAAGAAGCCAUGAAACAAUACGUGGCCAAGUUAAGAGACCAAUCCCAAAAUCCCUGAUUUGUACUUUCCUUAUGAAUAAUAAUGAAAUAAGUGCUUCAUAAUUCCCAUGUUAUAUUUCUCACACGUACAGAUAGUUAGCUAGGUAAUUCAAAUUAGUAACAUUUGGAUAAUGCAUAUCAAAGGCUGGGUUACGUUACGUUACGGUUUUUUAAUUAGUGCAUAGAUCAGGCAGAGAAGAUCAUGACCAACGGACCAACGUUCAAUACAUUACCAACGACAAUAGACAAGUACCAUCGAGCUGGUCGAGAGAUUGCAAAAGCCGG